UACGUAGGGGGCAAGCGUUGUCCGGAAUCAUUGGGCGUAAAGCGCGUGUAGGCGGCUCAGUAAGUCCGCUCUGAAAGCCCGGGGCUUAACCCCCGGGAGGCGGGUGGAUACUGCUCUGACUUGAGUUCGGUAGGGGGAGUGGGGAAUUCCUGGUGUAGCGGUGAAAUGCGCAGAUAUCAGGAGGAACACCGGUGGCGAAGGCGCCACUCUGGGCCGAAACUGACGCUGAGGAGCGAAAGCGUGGGUAGCAAACAGG
rnacentral:rRNA from 1 species